UAGCUAACCAAGUAUUAAAGGCGACGCCUGCCCAGUGAAAAAUUAAACGGCCGCGGUAUCCUAACCGUGCAAAGGUAGCACAAUCAUUUGUCUAUUAAUUGUAGACCUGUAUGAAAGGCAAAAUGAGAGCCCAACUGUCUCUUAUAACAAAUCAAUUAAACUGAUCUCCUAGUACAAAAGCUAGAAUACUAACAUAAGACCAGAAGACCCUGUGAAGCUUUAACUAACCUAUUAAACCCAAUAAUAGCUACUUUAGGUUGGGGCGACCUUGGAAUAAAAAAGAACUUCCAAUCUAUGACUCCCUCAUAAAUUUAAGGCGGACAAGCCUAACACUAGACCCAGCACAGCUGAUAAUUGAAACAAGUUACUCCAGGGAUAACAGCGCUAUCUUCUUUAAGAGCCCAUAUCAAAAAGAAGGUUUACGACCUCGAUGUUGGAUCAGGACACCCCAGUAAUGCAACCGUUACUAAAGGUUCGUUUGUUCAACGAUUAACAGUCCUACGUGAUCUGAGUUCAGACCGGAGCAAUCCAG
rnacentral:rRNA from 1 species